UAGAUAAUUAUAAAUUAAAUUAAUUUAUUAUAUAUAAUGUAUUUAUAUUAAAUAUAAAAACUUAAGUGUUAACUGUUAUAAAUAAUUGUGUUACAAAUUCUUUAAAUAAUUAAUGAAAAUUAAAUUAUGAAAUUAAAAUUAAUAAAUAUAAAUUAAGUGCCAGCAAUAGCUGUUAAACUUAUUUUAUAAAUUUAUAGUUAUAAACUUUACUAAAAUAAAAAAUAAUUUAUAUUUAAAAAUAUAUUUUUUAGGUGAAAUUUAAAUUUAUGUAAAUGAUAAAAUUAUUUAGUAUAAAAUAUAAGAAAAUUAAACAAUAAUCUAGGUUUAGAUACCCUAUUAUAUUAAUAUAAAAAAUAAUUUUAUUAUUAAAUGUUGAAUCAUAAAAAUAAAAUAAUAUGGCGGCCUUUUAAUCUUUUUAGGGAAAUUUGUUGUUUAAUUUGAUGAUCCACGAUAGGAAAUACUUAAAUUUUAUUUAUGUAUUGUUAUUAUAAUUUAUAAAUAAAAAUUUAUAUAAAUAAAUAUUUUAUAUAAUAAUAUUUUAAAUCAAAAUGUAGUAUAUUUAAGAAUAAAUGAAUUAUAAAAAAUUUAAUUUUUGAAUAAUUAAUUUUAAUAUUAAUUAAAAAGAGGAUUUAAUAGUAAAUUUAUUAAAUUAUUUAAAUUGAAUAAAGUAUUAAUUGGUGUACAAAUUGCCCGUCAAUUUCUUUUAGGAAUAAGUCGUAACAUAGUAAAGGUACUGGAAAGUGUUUUUAGAUAAAA
rnacentral:ncRNA from 1 species